AGAGUUUGAUCAUGGCUCAGGAUGAACGCUAGCGAUAGGCCUAACACAUGCAAGUCGAGGGGCAUCACAUGAAGCAGCAAUGCGGAUGGUGGCGACCGGCGCACGGGUGAGUAACACGUAUGCAACCUACCUUCAACUGGAGGAUAACCCGUUGAAAGACGGACUAAUACUCCAUAACACAGGGGUCCCGCAUGGGGAUAUUUGUUAAAGAUUAAUCGGUUGAAGAUGGGCAUGCGUUCCAUUAGCUGGUUGGCGGGGUAACGGCCCACCAAGGCAACGAUGGAUAGGGGAACUGAGAGGUUUAUCCCCCACACUGGAACUGAGACACGGUCCAGACUCCUACGGGAGGCAGCAGUGAGGAAUAUUGGUCAAUGGGGGCAACCCUGAACCAGCCAAGUCGCGUGAAGGAUGAAGGUCUUAUGGAUUGUAAACUUCUUUUAUACGGGAAUAAAGUGGGGGACGUGUCCCCCUUUGCAUGUACCGUAUGAAUAAGGAUCGGCUAACUCCGUGCCAGCAGCCGCGGUAAUACGGAGGAUCCGAGCGUUAUCCGGAUUUAUUGGGUUUAAAGGGUGCGCAGGCGGGAUGUUAAGUCGGCGGUGAAAUUUUGCAGCUCAACUGUAAAAGUGCCUUCGAUACUGGCCUCCUUGAGUGUGGAUGAAGUAGGCGGAAUUUGUGGUGUAGCGGUGAAAUGCUUAGAUAUCACGAGGAACUCCGAUUGCGCAGGCAGCUUACUAAACCACAACUGACGCUCAUGCACGAAGGCGUGGGGAUCAAACAGGAUUAGAUACCCUGGUAGU
rnacentral:rRNA from 1 species